CCUACGGGGGGCAGCAGUGGGGGAUAUUGCACAAUGGGGGAAACCCUGAUGCAGCGACGCCGCGUGGGUGAAGAAGCGCCUCGGCGCGUAAAGCCCUUUCAGCAGGGAAGAAAAUGACGGUACCUGAAGAGGAAGCCCCGGCUAACUACGUGCCAGCAGCCGCGGUAAUCCGGAGGGGGCAAGCGUUAUCCGGGUUUACUGGGUGGAAAGGGGGCGCAGACGGCGAUGCAAGCCAGGAGGGAAAGCCCGGGGCCCAACCACGGGACUGCUGUUGGAACUGCGUGGCUAGAGUGCAGGAGGGGCAGGCGGAAUUCGUGGUGUAGCGGUGAAAUGCGUAGAUAUCAGGCGGAACACCGGUGGCGAAGGCGGCCUGCUGGACUGCAACUGACGUUGAGGCCCGAAAGCGUGGGGAGCAAACAGGAUUAGAUACCCUUGUAGUC
rnacentral:rRNA from 1 species